UACGGAGGAUGCAAGCGUUAUCCGGAAUGAUUGGGCGUAAAGCGUCCGCAGGUGGCAAUGUAAGUCUGCUGUCAAAGCGUCUGGCUCAACCAGAUAAAGGCAGUGGAAACUACAUAGCUAGAGUAGGGUAGGGGUAGAGGGAAUUCCUGGUGUAGCGGUGAAAUGCGUAGAGAUCAGGAAGAACACCGGUGGCGAAGGCGGCCUGCUGGGCAGUUGCUGACACUGAGGCGCGACAGCGUGGGGAGCAAACAGG
rnacentral:rRNA from 1 species